GAGAGUUAAACAGUACGUGAAAUUGUUGAAAGGGAAACGAUUGAAGCCAGUCGUACCUUCGGGUAAUCAGCCUUUCGGGUGCGAUUAUGUGGAGUGUGAGGAGCUUAAACACCUUCAUGUUUUGCAUAUUCGUACUCUUGGGUGUACUUGCCCGUGUGGUUGGUUAACAUCAAUUUUGGUGGUCAUAAAAUGACUGGGGGAAUGUAGCUUCGAUCUUGUAUUGAAGUGUUAUAGCCUUCGGUAGAUGUGAUGAUCGAGAUUGAGGAUUGCAACGGAUACCUUUCGGGGCUACCUGUCUGAUCUCUGAUUGUUGCUUUGGUGCUGAAAGCGUGCUUAUAGUUAUCAAAGUCGAUGGUCAAUAGGUUAGAAUGGGUUAAAUUCGUUAAGGAUGUUGACGUAAUGGCUUUAAACGA
rnacentral:rRNA from 1 species